rnacentral:rRNA from 1 species
AUGCAGAUGCUCCUGUGCCACAGAGUGCAAGCAAUAGUUCCUGAUACUUGCAGAAACUGUUGCCUUACAAGUAAUUCUUGUGACUACAGGCAGGAGCAUGAUAGGACAAGUGCUUCAGGAACUGAAGGUAGUAUCUGCCUUGCAGAUGCCCAAGGCGAUGGGAAUGGUAUGUUUAGUCCUGUGCGUGUUAACGUAAGAGGAGCAGCUGAUGGACUUGCUGGCAUUGGGAGAGGAAACUCAAAUGUGACUGGUGCUGCUUGGGCUCCUACGCAUCAUAACGAAGCAACAUUCAGAAUUUAG